rnacentral:rRNA from 1 species
UUCGAGUUUGAUCAUGGCUCAGAUUGAACGCUGGCGGCAGGCCUAACACAUGCAAGUCGAACGGUAACAGGAAGCAGCUUGCUGCUUUGCUGACGAGUGGCGGACGGGUGAGUAAUGUCUGGGAAACUGCCUGAUGGAGGGGGAUAACUACUGGAAACGGUGGCUAAUACCGCAUAACGUCGCAAGACCAAAGAGGGGGACCUUCGGGCCUCUUGCCAUCAGAUGUGCCCAGAUGGGAUUAGCUUGUUGGUGAGGUAACGGCUCACCAAGGCGACGAUCCCUAGCUGGUCUGAGAGGAUGACCAGCCACACUGGAACUGAGACACGGUCCAGACUCCUACGGGAGGCAGCAGUGGGGAAUAUUGCACAAUGGGCGCAAGCCUGAUGCAGCCAUGCCGCGUGUAUGAAGAAGGCCUUCGGGUUGUAAAGUACUUUCAGCGGGGAGGAAGGUGUUGUGGUUAAUAACCGCAGCAAUUGACGUUACCCGCAGAAGAAGCACCGGCUAACUCCGUGCCAGCAGCCGCGGUAAUACGGAGGGUGCAAGCGUUAAUCGGAAUUACUGGGCGUAAAGCGCACGCAGGCGGUCUGUCAAGUCGGAUGUGAAAUCCCCGGGCUCAACCUGGGAACUGCAUUCGAAACUGGCAGGCUUGAGUCUUGUAGAGGGGGGUAGAAUUCCAGGUGUAGCGGUGAAAUGCGUAGAGAUCUGGAGGAAUACCGGUGGCGAAGGCGGCCCCCUGGACAAAGACUGACGCUCAGGUGCGAAAGCGUGGGGAGCAAACAGGAUUAGAUACCCUGGUAGUCCACGCCGUAAACGAUGUCUACUUGGAGGUUGUGCCCUUGAGGCGUGGCUUCCGGAGCUAACGCGUUAAGUAGACCGCCUGGGGAGUACGGCCGCAAGGUUAAAACUCAAAUGAAUUGACGGGGGCCCGCACAAGCGGUGGAGCAUGUGGUUUAAUUCGAUGCAACGCGAAGAACCUUACCUGGUCUUGACAUCCACAGAACUUUCCAGAGAUGGAUUGGUGCCUUCGGGAACUGUGAGACAGGUGCUGCAUGGCUGUCGUCAGCUCGUGUUGUGAAAUGUUGGGUUAAGUCCCGCAACGAGCGCAACCCUUAUCCUUUGUUGCCAGCGGUCCGGCCGGGAACUCAAAGGAGACUGCCAGUGAUAAACUGGAGGAAGGUGGGGAUGACGUCAAGUCAUCAUGGCCCUUACGACCAGGGCUACACACGUGCUACAAUGGCGCAUACAAAGAGAAGCGACCUCGYGAGAGCAAGCGGACCUCAUAAAGUGCGUCGUAGUCCGGAUUGGAGUCUGCAACUCGACUCCAUGAAGUCGGAAUCGCUAGUAAUCGUGGAUCAGAAUGCCACGGUGAAUACGUUCCCGGGCCUUGUACACACCGCCCGUCACACCAUGGGAGUGGGUUGCAAAAGAAGUAGGUAGCUUAACCUUCGGG